rnacentral:rRNA from 1 species
AUGAACGCUGGCGGCGCGCCUAAUACAUGCAAGUCGAGCGAACGGACGAGAAGCUUGCUUCUCUGAUGUUAGCGGCGGACGGGUGAGUAACACGUGGAUAACCUACCUAUAAGGCUGGGAUAACUUCGGGAAACCGUAGCUAAUACCGGAUAAUAUUUUGAACCGCAUGGUUCAAAAGUGAAAGACGGUCUUGCUGUCACUUAUAGAUGGAUCCGCGCUGCAUUAGCUAGUUGGUAAGGUAACGGCUUACCAAGGCAACGAUGCAUAGCCGACCUGAGAGGGUGAUCGGCCACACUGGAACUGAGACACGGUCCAGACUCCUACGGGAGGCAGCAGUAGGGAAUCUUCCGCAAUGGGCGAAAGCCUGACGGAGCAACGCCGCGUGAGUGAUGAAGGUCUUCGGAUCGUAAAACUCUGUUAUUAGGGAAGAACAUAUGUGUAAGUAACUGUGCACAUCUUGACGGUACCUAAUCAGAAAGCCACGGCUAACUACGUG